rnacentral:lncRNA from 1 species
UUUUUUUUUUUUUUUUUUUUUUUUCAAAUUUCCCCUGAAGUUCUGCCAUGGAAACUUUGGGUCCAAGAUUUUAUACGUUUUAUCAUCUUGAAGUUGAAAGCUUUUUAAGACUUUCUGCAGAGCUUCCUCUUCCUACACACACCUGGCAUGUCCCUAGGCAACUUUUAUCUUUAGUUGGAAAAGAUUACACAUCACUGCCAAGAACUCAUGAAAGUUCCCAUAAUGUCUUCUGUUUCACCUUUAGGCUACCUAAAGAUAUAUAUGUAGAUACUUGAUUCUUCCAUAACACACCCACACCCACAAAGACUAUAACUGUUAGUAAAUCUUUUAUCAAUGUAGUCCUGAAGUUCUUUCAUAAUGGAAAUUUGAACUUUCCAUUGGUGCCAAAGGCACUAUAUCAUAAUAUCUGAUGCUAAGAACUCUGACUAGGCUUAUGAAGACGGCUUUCUCAGGACCCACUUCAUGGUCAUGCAUCCUAUCAGUAACUCAGAGCCUCACACUGGGCUUGUUAAUUCCCUGUUAUCACCAGCUUGAAACUCUUAAUAAUUUUUAACAAGGUACUCAGCAUCCUAAUUUUGUACUAGUCAAACGAUAUAGUUGGUUCUAGACUCAGUGCUUAGCUACUUCUAUUCAGUUGAAGCUGCAGUUCCCAAUAUAAGUUGAUUUUCCAGCAACAAAGGCUUUGGGCAGCAGUGUUUCCGAAUGGAUUUGCCUCUUGAUUUCAGGAUUCCAAUAUUACAUUAGCAAAAUCCCUAGGGUUUGGGAUUUAUACCAAUGUUUUAUAAUUGCUAUUGCCUUUUACAGUAAAAAUAAAAUUUUUGUAUCUUCACAACAUUUAAAACUACUACAUUUGCAGAAACAUUUCAUUUUAUAGACUGACCCUCAAUCUAUAUAAACCAUAUUUCUUUUCUUCUAUACACUUAGGAGUUAUGAUUAAUUGAAAUUAAAUCUUAACAUAUGGCAGUAUAAUCAAUGUAUCAAAAAUAUAAUAGAAAAAACAUUCAAGUUAUUUGAUUAAAUGUCUUUGAUUCAGAGUAGAAAUAUAUUGUGAAAGCUGAUAUUGAAUUUAGAUCUUAUAUGUUUAUGUAUUCUUAGAGUACCUUAAUUGAGACACACUAUGUGAAAGGUAAGAAAGACUGAAAUGCUGAAAUUUAUAUUUUUAAUGUACAGAAAGCCGAUAUAUGUUUGUUAGAUACUUAGAUUAAUUGCAAAGUUUUAUUUUCUCUCAACUGGUUCCUGAGUGAGACACAUUUGUUUCUGUGGAAAUAUGUGGCAUAAGUCAGCCACUAAUAUUAUGCAAGCCCACAGUAGCUUUGAGUUUACAGUAUUCUCGAGAAUCUAAGGGACUGACACAAUUUAGAUUCAAUGGAGUUACAAUUUUAUUUUAAAGUGUCAGUAAAUAAAGACUGAUGUGAAAACAGUUAAGGUAAUGCCAAUUAUUUAAAAUGAUUACAUGUAUUCACAGAUCCCUCCAGGAAAACACCCUCCAAGGUAUUAUGCAGAAGAAGUGAACUAUGGGUAAUGCUUUAUAACAAUGUACUACGUGGUACUCCUGAGAGUCAGUGUUUUAUUUUAUCCCAAUAGGGUGUGUAUUUGCUUUUUGUUUGUGUUUAUGUAAAGGUUCUUUAACAUCUUUUUUAAGUUCUAUUUUCGAUUCUCUGCCAACCGCAUGUUAGUUUCUCGGAUACAUGAGAUUUUUGAAUUUUUGUUCCUCUCCAUUUUUUUCCCUGUUUCAUCUGCUUCCAGUGAGUUUCACCAUUUUAGCUAAUCCAUCUCCUGACCACUUUCCCACACUCCCAAAUUAAUGAUUUUUGCUCUUGCAGAAGGGAGGUAAAAGGCACGUGUUUUUAUCCUUAUGACCACAAGUCUGUUUGUUUUCUCUUUAGGAGUUCCAUACUAUUUAUCACCCACAGUUGAUGUUAAACAUUCCAAACAACACCCCAUGUUAAGCAGAAGUUUAUUAUCUUAUUCUGGGUGAUCUCUAAUUGACCUUUCUGAUAUGCUCAUUCUCGGAAAAAGUGUUCCUUUUUUGAGUCAUAAAUUCUUUCAGGAAUCUGAUAAAAGCAAGGCUUCUUUCUCAUUUGCAAAUACUGCAUGCAAUUUCAGGAGUUUCAUGGGGCCCUGAGGCCCAUUCAUGCCCCAAGUAUUAUGAACACCUGUUCUAAUUUAUUAAUGUCUAUUUUAUUGCGGUGUGGAUAGUUUUCCUAGAAUUAUUCACUUUUUGUUCCAAUCUUUACUCUCCCCUCUGCCACUGUCUUUAUUACUUGUAAGAAUGCCCCUUCCGAGUUCCUUGGUGGCACAGCCAGUUAAGGAUCUGGCAUUUUCACUGCUGUGGCUUGAGUAGCUGCUGUAGUGCAGGUUUGAUCUUUGACUGGGAACUUUCACAUGCUGUGGGUCUUGCCAAAAAAAAAAAAAAAAGAAAAAGAAAGAAUACCCUUUUCAACUAAUGAUGUUUCUAUUCAAAAUGUUUGAACCUGUCUGAAGCAUCCCAGUAACGCAACCACUGUAUUUGAAAAAAGAGAGAGAGAAUGCCCUAUUCAUUUUCAAGUUCCAUUUCUGUUAUGUUACCCCAAAACCCUCUAAUUCUGAGCAUACUCUUGUCCUAUUAACUUUUAUAAAUGAAACAAAAAUAUGUAAACCCCCAUUCAAUUGAAUAGUACAGCACCUUGCCUCACGGGGUGUGAAAAAGUCAACCUGAAAGGUUUUUAAUAAUCAUAUCAAGGCUAAUUGGUAAUAUUAGUAUUGUUGAUGACUAAUAUUAAUUGAAUAUAUUUUUCCUAAGAACUAUGCUAAAUAUGUUAUUACUGUCUUUCACUCUUUUUAAAAUUUUCUUCUUUGUUUUCCUCUUCUCCUUCUCCUUCGAUAACAGAUGAGAUAAAGUAAAUGAAAAGAAGUUAAGUCAACCUGACUCAAGUCAUAACUAGAAAACUAACACAAAAAAGAUUCAAACACAGAUUUUUGACUUCAGAGAUACUUCUAUUGUCUUCUAAUAUAUUAGAUAAUCCCUACCUCUCAUUUAUAAUAGUAUAGGGUAUAUCUUAGGAUGUGUGAAUUUACUCAUCUAUUCCUUCAUACAUAUAAUUAACACAGGGCAGAAAAGAAAAAAAUCAUAAGAUAAAUAUGAAAUUCUGUGGAAAUUAGGGGAAAGCCCACAUCACUUGAACUUUACGGAAAAAAAAAGACAUUUGAAACAUUCCAUGAAGGAUACCUGAGAUUAAAUAGGAAAUAGUAUGGAAAAGCUGUGAAGGCUGAGGAACUUGCAGAAAUGUAUGCAUUGGGUAUGAUUGGCAGUUCAACUUGGCUCGAGUAGAAAAUGUGGAAAGCAGAAUUAGGAGAGAAAAAUAAAUGUUGGAAAAAGUGGUAGGCCAGAUACCAGAGAACUCUGAAUUCCAGGAAUAGGAGGGUGAACUUGUUUUAGCAAGAGUGAAUGAUGGAAGAUUUUAAACAGAAAAAGGUCAUAAUCACAACUAUGUUUGUAGAGGAUGGCCAGGCCUGACUGGGAGCAGGAAGACUUGCAGUGUGGAGAGAUGGAGAAAUGUGCUCAUCCUUUGGGCCAUAUUUUAUUAGAUUAAGGGAUAAAUGAUACCAUUCUCUUUGGGGAGAGGCCCUGUUAGUGGGAGAAUUACAAAACCAAGUGAAGCCUGAAACUGCACAGACUGUCCAGCAAGUUCUGGUCUCUUGUCUAGUGAUAGUUUACACAUUAACCUCUGUUCACUUUUUCUCUUUCUCCUUUGUUCUGUAUUCUCUCUUAUAGGAAUUGCGUUCUGAGAGCUUUUUUUCUUUUUUAAAUAGGAUCCUCUUCUGCUAUUGCGCUUUUGAUUCUGUCUGUCUUCCACUCACUUUACCACCGGCUGCUUUGCUCCUAGUCUUAUGGUCCUAGGUUUAGGAUUAUUGAUCAAUGUUUUUAGCCUUUUCUUGGAAACAAUAAUAAGUAUAUACAUUGAUUAUCUUCACUUUUAGCUACUGAGCUCUGCCUGAGAUCAAUCCACCAUAUACUUUCACCAUCAUAUUCCAUUUUUCCUCUAUGUGCUUCAGAUUUCCUUAUGAACUUAUGCACAAUACAGGUGUCCUGGCCUCUGUGUUAGAAUUCAUGUGUAAGGGCUAGAACACUAUGACAAAGACUAUGUGGGGAGGUGCAAGAGUUUGAGCCUACUGAUGAGUGUGCUGGAAUAAAGGCAGUGCCUAUUUUGGCCAGAGAUGGAAAGAGCUGAUGGGUCCAAAUGCAGGGUGCUCAGAUUCUAUCAAGAAUCAGGUAGAUCUGAAACAUAGAGGGAAUGGGAUCUUUAGGAUCUUUAGUGAGUAUGUGCACAUGAGUAGUAUAAAGGAGACAAUACAAAAUUUGAAAGAGGGUAACAACAACAAACAAGCAUAAAUAGAUGUUGAUUGUUUCCCCAGGAGAGAUGUACUUUGUGUCGGGCUUCUUAUUUGUGAGUACUUAAAAUUAAGUAUUGGCAUCACCAGCCUUAUUUCUUUUUAAAAUUUUCCCAUAUCUUUCUUCUCUUGUUGGACUCAGGCACAUUGCUUAUCAUUUGGAUAAAACAUCGUAUUUAUGUUAUUUGAAAUUCUUCUCACCUAUUUCAGAUGCUGCAUAGGGAAAACAUCUUGGCAGAUCUGGAAGAAAAAAUUUGUAUUCUCUAAUCUAGAUUUUCUGUGGCUAAUAGUAAUAUAGAUAUCUCCAUGGUUUCUAGAAAAGUGUGUUUUUUUUACCUUCCUAGUCAAAUUUGAUUUUCAUGAAGAGCAUUAUUACCUUAUUGUCAUUCAUUAUUCCUUCUUACCUCUUCUUUCCCUUUUAGGUUUGUUUUUUUGGCCUAUAUAGUGUAACACUUGGACAAUUGCCUGGAAAUCUCUCUCCUUCAUGCAACGAAAAUUCAUUGAAGGGCUUCAAAAAGCGAACUUCCAUGAAAUUGUAUUGUGUCAUAAGUGGACUCAAUUUAUGUUAAGGGGUUUGAUAAAGCCUAAGAAAGUACCAUGGUUUCCAUUUAACACCUGUCUCCUACCAUAGAAACUUCAAGUUCUUCCUGAUAUAUCAGUUUUUUUUCCUUCCUACAUGAAAUGAGAAUUAAGAUACUGGGACAGAGUGAACAAGUAAGGCAUGAAAUCUCUUAUUAAAUUUUUUGUCCACUUGCAUGCAUCAGAUAAGGGAUAAAUUACUUGCACUUUUUAUUUAUUUAUUUAUUCAUUCAUUUUGCUUUCUAGGGACGCACCCAUGGCAUAUAGGAGUUCCCAGGCUAGGGGUCAAAUCAGAGCUACAGCUGCCAGCCUAUGCCACAGCCACAGCAAUAUAGGAUCCAAGCUUUAUCUGCAACCUCACCACAGCACAUGGCAACACCAGAUCCCUGACCCAGUUAGUGAGGCCAGGGAUCCAACCCACAUCCUCAUGGAUACUUGUCAGAUUUGUUUCCCUUGGGCCACGGGAACUCCUUACUUGCAUUUUAUUAAUGGCUUUCUGGAAAAAUGUGGACAACUUCUUCCCACAAGCAUGCCUUUCUCAGGAUAGCAUUCUUACUAAUUCAACAGCUUAAGCAUGACACUAAUUAAAAUAUGUAGGGACUCACUGGAAGAGGAAAUGAGGUCUACAUGUCCAAAAGGAUAAGGUGGAAGAGCCACUGUCUGCUUUCUUUUUAGGUCUGAACAAAAGUCACAAUGCUGGUGAUUAAAGGCCUGACUAGGCCCAGAGUUACAUAUAAAAUGAGAAGUUGAGGACUAUAGUUUAUGCAGAGUGUUCAUAGAUUUCAAUUUUUGUGAGUUCAUGGUUAAAAUGUACAAUAUUUAUGUGUUCUGAUAAUAUAGAUUGUUUAGCCUGUAAUUAUGUUUUUUUUUGUUUAGCCUGUGAUUUUUUUAAUAAUCUAAAAAAAAGCUUUAUUGAAAAUAUAAGUUCCUCUUUGAGUAUUUUAGAGAGUAGAAAAAAUUACUAUUAUUUAGAGAAUAGAAAAAUUUACUAUGAUUAUCAAUAAUACUCAUUAAUUAGUAUCAUUAAUAAUAUUAGCAGCAGUCAGACUUCCUGGAAAACACAAGUGUUGUGACUUUGUAACUACCUUCAAAUAGUUAUUUAUGAAUCAUGUAUUUUAAACUCAAAUAAUUUGAGUUCAGUUACUUCCAAACUCCCAUAUAUCAAAAUUCCAUUUGAUAGAAUUAUUUGAUUUUAUUGUCAAGUAUCAGCUGUUCAAUGUAGAUUGAGAAGAC